UUCGCCCUUAGAGUUUGAUCCUGGCUCAGGACGAACGCUGGCGGCGCGCCUAACACAUGCAAGUCGAACGGAGUCAAGAGGAGCUUGCUUUUCUUGACUUAGUGGCGAACGGGUGAGUAACGCGUGAGUAACCUGCCCUGGAGUGGGGGACAACAGUUGGAAACGACUGCUAAUACCGCAUAAGCCCACGGAUCCGCAUGGAUCUGCGGGAAAAGGAUUUAUUCGCUUCAGGAUGGACUCGCGUCCAAUUAGCUAGUUGGUGAGGUAACGGCCCACCAAGGCGACGAUUGGUAGCCGGACUGAGAGGUUGAACGGCCACAUUGGGACUGAGACACGGCCCAGACUCCUACGGGAGGCAGCAGUGGGGGAUAUUGCACAAUGGGGGAAACCCUGAUGCAGCGACGCCGCGUGGAGGAAGAAGGUUUUCGGAUUGUAAACUCCUGUCGUUAGGGACGAUAAUGACGGUACCUAACAAGAAAGCACCGGCUAACUACGUGCCAGCAGCCGCGGUAAAACGUAGGGUGCAAGCGUUGUCCGGAAUUACUGGGUGUAAAGGGAGCGCAGGCGGACCGGCAAGUUGGAAGUGAAAACUAUGGGCUCAACCCAUAAAUUGCUUUCAAAACUGCUGGCCUUGAGUAGUGCAGAGGUAGGUGGAAUUCCCGGUGUAGCGGUGGAAUGCGUAGAUAUCGGGAGGAACACCAGUGGCGAAGGCGACCUACUGGGCACCAACUGACGCUGAGGCUCGAAAGCAUGGGUAGCAAACAGGAUUAGAUACCCUGGUAGUCCAUGCCGUAAACGAUGAUUACAAGGUGUUGGAGGAAUUGACCCCCUUCCAGUGCCAGCAGUUAACACAAUAAGUAAUCCACCUGGGGAGUACGUCCGCAAGGUUGAAACUCAAAGGAAUUGACGGGGGCCCGCACAAGCAGUGGAGUAUGUGGUUUAAUUCGAAGCAACGCGAAGAACCUUACCAGGUCUUGACAUCCGAUGCAUAGUGCAGAGAUGCAUGAAGUCCUUCGGGACAUCGAGACAGGUGGUGCAUGGUUGUCGUCAGCUCGUGUCGUGAGAUGUUGGGUUAAGUCCCGCAACGAGCGCAACCCUUAUUGCCAGUUACUACGCAAGAGGACUCUGGCGAGACUGCCGUUGACAAAACGGAGGAAGGUGGGGAUGACGUCAAAUCAUCAUGCCCUUUAUGACCUGGGCUACACACGUACUACAAUGGCGUUUAACAAAGAGAAGCAAGACCGCGAGGUGGAGCAAAACUCAAAAACAACGUCUCAGUUCAGAUUGCAGGCUGCAACUCGCCUGCAUGAAGUCGGAAUUGCUAGUAAUCGCGGAUCAGCAUGCCGCGGUGAAUACGUAAAAGGGCCUUGCACUCACCGCCCGUCA
rnacentral:rRNA from 1 species